ACGCUCGACACCUACGGGAGGCAGCAGUGGGAAUAUUGGGCAAUGGGCGAAAGCCUGACCCAGCAACGCCGCGUGAGGGAAGAAGGUUUUCGGAUUGUAAACCUCUGUCCUCAGGGACGAAGGACGUGACGGUACCUGAGGAGGAAGCCCCGGCUAACUACGUGCCAACAGCCGCGGUAAUCUGAGGCGGGCUGGCAAGGC
rnacentral:rRNA from 1 species